AGUUUGAUCCUGGCUCAGAACGAACGCUGGCGGCAUGCCUAACACAUGCAAGUCGAACGAAGGCUUCGGCCUUAGUGGCGCACGGGUGCGUAACGCGUGGGAAUCUGCCCUUGGGUUCGGAAUAACAGCGGGAAACUGCUGCUAAUACCGGAUGACGACGAAAGUCCAAAGAUUUAUCGCCUGAGGAUGAGCCCGCGUUGGAUUAGGUAGUUGGUGGGGUAAAGGCCUACCAAGCCGACGAUCCAUAGCUGGUCUGAGAGGAUGAUCAGCCACACUGGGACUGAGACACGGCCCAAACUCCUACGGGAGGCAGCAGUGGGGAAUAUUGGACAAUGGGCGCAAGCCUGAUCCAGCCAUGCCGCGUGAGUGAUGAAGGCCUUAGGGUUGUAAAGCUCUUUCACCGAUGAAGAUAAUGACGGUAGUCGGAGAAGAAGCCCCGGCUAACUUCGUGCCAGCAGCCGCGGUAA
rnacentral:rRNA from 1 species